ensembl:lncRNA SERPINB9P1 serpin family B member 9 pseudogene 1
GGAUGCUGUGGGCGCCUGGCCUCUGAAGACUGGAAAAGAAUGGCCCAGAUCCUCUGGACUCCUCAGAUGAGCGGAUUCAGAGAGAAGCUUUUGAGAGCGUGCUGGCGGAGACAUUUUUCACAAAAGAGCCCUUGCGGUGCUGGUGUCCGUGGCGUGCCUGGGUGGAAAAUGAGCUUAUAUAUGAAGAAGUCAGCGAGUGGACAAAGCCAGGCGCAAUGGAUAGCAAAGAUGUGGAAGUCUCCUCGAUUCAAGUUACAAGAAAACCGCAGCAUGGAGUCUGCUCUCAGCUGUUGGGGAAUUACCGAUGCCUUUGACUAAGUCAAGACUGACUUUUCCAGAAUAUCACCCAAGAGAUAGAGCCGUCCCUGUCCAAGUUUGUGCGCUAGCCCUUCAUGGAGGUCAGAGAGGAAGAAACAAAGGCAGCUGUGGCCUCGGCGGUCACAGUGUCAGAACGCACAAGCCCCAUAAAGAGGUUUCACGCAGGCCACCCAUCCCUUUUCAUUCUCCAGCAGAACAGGACAGAGAGCGUUCUGUUCUGCGGAAGGUCUUCCACUCUACAAGGCAAUCCCUCCAGCUGCUUUGCUGUAUUGUGCUGUCUCCUGUCACACUAUGAAUGCAGUGACCUCAGCCAGCAACAGGGAGAACCCCCCUGCCUCCCGAACAAAGGACCUCACGUGAAAUCCUGAGCUCAGAGCUUACAGAUAUGUGUGCGCUUUCACUUUACAUCGGCCGUGACUUCCAAACAACUUCAGGAAACUUUAGGAUCUCUGAGGUAUACUGGAGAUGACAGCAGCGUAGAAUGUUCAUUUGGAUUUAGAACAGAAAUGCUUAUUUUAUAUUUGGCUGCUCCCAAACUGUCCCCAGACUUCCUCUCCAGUGGUUACCCUCCACUGCCCUGGAUGUCCCACGUUUACACUCCACACUCACACCUCCACCUUAACAAAGUCCUCCACUGGGUCAAACCAUACAUCGCUUCGUCUCUGUAGUGAUGACUUCCUGUCCUCUGCUCUGUGGAUAAAGACCCCAGAUAAAGAUGCCUGUGUUGCUCAACUCUUGUAAAUACUCUUGAGACAUUUUGAAAGCAGAAGGAAAGGAGACAGACGGGGAAAAUAAAAGGGAUGGUCUGCUUGUGCGGAAACGUUUUGAGAAUGCCCUUCCCUAAGAGAGAACAGUAAAAGUGAGCAAUACUUCCUGAGCUGUGGGUUCA